rnacentral:rRNA from 1 species
UUAAGCAUAUCAAUAAGCGGAGGAAAAGAAACCAACAGGGAUUGCCUCAGUAACGGCGAGUGAAGCGGCAAAAGCUCAAAUUUGAAAUCCUGGCUCCUUUGGGGUCAUGAGUUGUAAUUUGAAGGUUGAGUUGUUUGGUGUCACACAUUUCUAAGUCCAUUGGAACAUGGCGCCUUGGAGGGUGAGAGCCCCGUGAGAGAUGUUGUGGUAUCAUUAUACUUCUCUUCCGAAGAGUCGAGUUGUUUGGGAAUGCAGCUCUAAGUGGGUGGUAAAUUCCAUCUAAAGCUAAAUAUUGGCGAGAGACCGAUAGCGAACAAGUACAGUGAUGGAAAGAUGAAAAGCACUUUGAAAAGAGAGUGAAAAAGUACGUGAAAUUGUUGGAAGGGAAGGGCUUGCAAGCAGACACGAUCCUCUCGGGGAUUGGGCCAGCAUCGGUUGGCAAGGGGUGGAAAAGGCAGUUGGGAAUGUGGCUCUGCGCUUUUAGUGCGGAGUGUUAUAGACCUUCUGAGAUACACCCACUUCCGACCGAGGCCUGCGAUUAUUCUAGGAUGCUGGCGUAAUGGUUGCAAGUCGCCCGUCUUGAAACACGGACCAAGGAGUCUAACGUCUAUGCGAGUGUUUGGGUGGAUAAAACCCACGACGCGGAAUGAAAGUAAGAGGUUGGAGCCCUUUUGGGUGCACAAUCGACCGACCCUGAAGUGCUCGGACGGGUUUGAGUAGGAGCAUAGCUGUUGGGACCCGAAAGAUGGUGAACUAUACCUGGAUAGGGUGAAGCCAGAGGAAACUCUGGUGGAGGCUCGCAGCGGUUCUGACGUGCAAAUCGAUCGUCGAAUCUGGGUAUAGG